rnacentral:rRNA from 1 species
UACGAAGGGGGCAAGCGUUGUUCGGAAUUACUGGGCGUAAAGGGCGCGUAGGCGGCUUAUCAAGUCAGGCGUGAAAUUCCCGGGCUCAACCUGGGGGCUGCGCUUGAUACUGAUGAGCUUGAAUGCGGGAGAGGAUAGUGGAAUUCCCGGUGUAGCGGUGAAAUGCGCAGAUAUCGGGAGGAACACCAGUAGCGAAGGCGGCUCGCUGGGCCACACCUGACGCUGAGACGCGAAAGCUAGGGGAGCGAACAGG